rnacentral:rRNA from 1 species
CAAUAGCGUAUAUUAAAAUUGCUGCAGUUAAAAAAGCUCGUAGUUGAACUUCGGAACCGGUCGAUUGGUCCGUCCUCUGGAUUGUGUACUGAUCGAUCUGUUCUUCUUCGCGAAGACCGCCGUAGUGCCUUAACUGGGGUGUGCACGGGAUUCACGACGUUUACUUUGAAAAAAUUAGAGUGUUCAAAGCAGGCAUUCGCUUGAAUAUCUCAGCAUGGAAUAAUAGAAUAGGACUUUGGUCUUAUUUUGUUGGUUUCCGAGACCGAAGUAAUGAUUAAUAGGGACAGUUGGGGGCAUUCGUAUUUCAUUGUCAGAGGUGAAAUUCUUGGAUUUAUGAAAGACGAACUUCUGCGAAAGCAUUUGCCAAGGAUGUUUUCAUUAAUCAAGAACGAAAGUUGGAGGCUCGAAGACGAUUAGAU